GCCUAGUUAGCUUGCUUGGUAGAGCGUCUGCCUUGUAAGCGCUAGGUCGCGGGUUCGAUUCCCACCCGGGGCG
rfam:Asian citrus Psyllid, Diaphorina citri - Florida Strain, whole genome shotgun sequence.